GACGAACUGUGCAAACGUUAUUCGGAAUCACUGGGCUUGAAGAGUGCGUAGGCGGUUUUGUAAGUAGGGUGUGAAAGCCCCCAGCUCAACUGGGGAAUUGCGUCCCAAACUGCAGGGCUGGAGUGAGGCAGGGGUGUGUGGAACUUCCAGUGGAGCGGUGAAAUGUGUUGAUAUUGGAAGGAACGCCGGUGGCGAAAGCGACACACUGGGCCUUGACUGACGCUGAGGCACGAAAGCCAGGGGAGCAAACGGG
rnacentral:rRNA from 1 species